UCUCAAGUUGUUGGAGUAUUCUAGGGAUUUUGACAAAGAGUAUUUGGGUGAGCUAAAUAGCUAAGAUUUGGAUGUUUUAGAGUAGUUAAGGAUAUGUGAAUAGCACGAGGCGCAAGUGGUGGGAUCUUGAAGGUGAC